UCGAACGAGACCUUCGGGUCUAGUGGCGCACGGGUGCGUAACGCGUGGGAAUCUGCCCUUCGGUUCGGAAUAACUCAGGGAAACUUGAGCUAAUACCGGAUAAUGACUUCGGUCCAAAGAUUUAUCGCCGAGGGAUGAGCCCGCGUCGGAUUAGCUUGUUGGUGAGGUAAAAGCUCACCAAGGCGACGAUCCGUAGCUGGUCUGAGAGGAUGAUCAGCCACACUGGGACUGAGACACGGCCCAGACUCCUACGGGAGGCAGCAGUGGGGAAUAUUGGACAAUGGGCGAAAGCCUGAUCCAGCAAUGCCGCGUGAGUGAUGAAGGCCUUAGGGUUGUAAAGCUCUUUUACCCGGGAUGAUAAUGACAGUACCGGGAGAAUAAGCCCCGGCUAACUCCGUGCCAGCAGCCGCGGUAAUACGGAGGGGGCUAGCGUUG
rnacentral:rRNA from 1 species